ACGUGCACGUCUCCACCUUCGAUAGAAAGUUCUGAAUCAUCUCGGAAGCUAAGCAGGGUCGAGCCUGGUGAGUACUUGGAUGGGAGACCACCUACGAAGACCGGGUGCUGCAGGCG
rnacentral:rRNA from 1 species